CCCUUAGAUGUUCUGGGCUGCACGCGCGCUACACUGAUGCACUCAACGAGUUUACGACCUUGUCCGAGAGGAUUGGGUAAUCUUUUUAAAAUGCAUCGUGAUGGGGAUAGAUUAUUGCAAUUAUUAAUCUUCAACGAGGAAUUCCUAGUAAGCGCGAGUCAUCAGCUCGUGCUGAUUACGUCCCUGCCCUUUGUACACACCGCCCGUCGCACCUACCGAUUGAAUGGUCCGGUGAAGCCUCCGGAUUGGCGCGCACCUCGGUGCCGCCGAGAAGUUGGCUAAACCUUACCAUUUAGAGGAAGGUGAAGUCGUAACA
rnacentral:rRNA from 1 species